CCGGGGACAGAGCGCUUCGCUUCUCGCACGGGCGUAGGGGUGCCGCGUGGACACCCCGUGUGUACCCGUGCGCCGAGCAGGAUCAGAAGAAAGAACAGACCCGCAGUUUCCCAGUCACCUGGACGGCAGUCUUGUCCGUCCAGCCACCGCCUUUCGGAGCAGGGACCUCGGAAUAUGUGCUGUUUGUGCCGAAAUCCCCUCAGUUACUUGCCCUCAUGCCACUCUGCACAAUCCAAGACUUCAGGAAAACGUAAUCCUUCCCGUUUUAGUGCCUUUUUAAUAAUUGUACAUGUCACGCUUUAAGUGUUUUCAGACUUGUGUGUUACAAAGAAAUCAAGAAAGCCCCUGCCUUGGAAGGAGCCGCACAAGCGUGGCUGGGUCCUCUGGGAACUGAGUGACACCUCCGUAACUCUCUCUGCUGCGGCUGUGCUGGACUAGGGAGCUCUUCCCUGCAGAGCACAGAACCCUUGGGGUUAGAAGCACCCCCCCACAGGCCCCCCAAUUAAGAAGCAGCUCCAAGUGGAUAUCACUUCAGGACUGCGCGCUGACUCGGAUCCCCAUGGCAGAUCCUGAGGACAGGGACCCAGUUAAGGGUCCCCGUGGAGCCGGCCCUGAAGAGCCUCAGGGCAACUUCAGGAAGCUUCUCCUAACACUUGGAGAGGUGUCUAUGGAGGCGUGCUGGUGGGGGUAGCAUUGGGAAGUCUAUGCCCCCUCCUUUCCUGGAGCUGCCUCCUUGAGCUGGGGGGCGGCUACUCCCGGUGUAAAAGACCUAGAUUUUCUGACUCGGGGUUUCCCCAAAGGGAAGGCCUAGAAGAGGGAAGGGAGCCACGGAGCCAUCUCCCCUCCUCGGGAGUGGCUGUGACCGGCUAAGUUAGGUUCCCCUUCCCUCACCAUCUCCCACUCCUAGAAUACCUGUAACUUCUCCAUGUGCCCUAAGCCUUUGAGUCUGUCCUGCUCAAGAGAAAAUUCCACGAGAGCAGUGUCUGGAUUGCGUGCCGCUGACCAUCGGUGACUAGCACAGUGCCCGGCGUAGUCGGUACGCGCUCCACCCCUCUCCCCGCCUUUCAAGGAGACUUCCUGCCGUCCAUCGCUGCACUGUUCUCGCAGACCACGGUUCCUGGUGUUGGCAGCCUCCACUCCGUGCCUGUCUCUUCUCAACUUUACUUGCAGUGCCUGUAGCGUGAAAUCAGCCGUGGUGGGAGAAUUUACACUGUGGAAACUGGCAAACACCACAAAUCACGAUUCCCCCCCUCCCCACCUGGUUGUUAAACAUUCACCAGCACCCCGCUGCGUCCGGCCUCACUAGGAGCUCUAUGACUCACCCAAGUCACACAGCACCCUGGGCUUCAGUUUGCCGCAGUGUGGAGAUCCCACAGUAUCUAUCUACCUAAUGGGAUUGUCUGGCGAUCAAAUGUGAUUAUAAUUCUGCGACAUGUUUAGCACAAUGUUUGGCUUCUAGUAAAAUACGCAACAUGCUUUA